rfam:Triticum aestivum genome assembly, contig: Triticum_aestivum_CS42_TGACv1_scaffold_066571_1DL
CAAGUACUCCCUCCGUCCGAAAAUACUUGUCAUCAAAAUGGAUAAAAAAGAUGUAUCUAGAACUAAUAUACAUCUAGAUCCAUCCCGUUUUAUUCAUUUUGAUGACAAGUAUUUCCGGACGGAGGGAGUACAAC